GAGGGUGUAGCUUAGUGGUAGAGGAUGUGCUUGGCAUGCAUGAGGUUCUGGGUUGCAUCCCCAGUACCUCUA
rnacentral:tRNA from 1 species